GACAGAGGGUGCGAACGUUGUUCGGAAUUACUGGGCGUGAAGCGCGUGUAGGCGGCAGCGCAAGUCGGGCGUGAAAUCCCACGGCUCAACCGUGGAAGUGCACUCGAAACUGCGCAGCUAGAGUCCUGGAGAGGAAGGUGGAAUGCUUGGUGUAGAGGUGAAAUUCGUAGAUAUCAAGCGGAACACCGGUGGCGAAGGCGGCAUCCUGGACCAAUACUGACGCUGAGGAGCGAAAGCCGGGGGAGCAAACGGG
rnacentral:rRNA from 1 species